AACCCACACAGCAGAAGACUGCUAUACGGAUCCGCCUUCAAGUCGCCCAACCCGCGUUACUGUCACAUUCGUUUUGGCUCCGCCUAGAGGAUACAGCUCCGCCUCUGAAAAUUGUACGGUCAGACAGCUGAUCCUGAGCGGACUCGUGUCUGAUUCGCAUACGCGGACGCGACAAACUAAACCGGCGCGCGCCGCCUAGAGUUAUAGGCUCCGCCUACGCGCGCUGAGCCGACCAAUGUCUGCACCCGCAGACGUGGACGCGCCUACUAGCGUGUACGCGCAUGAGCCAAGAUCUCUGGACUUUCUUUGCUGGAACACGAACCUCCACCGUCUCGCCGAGUGCCAGCAAGAGUCAUGAGUACUUGUCAACUCGACUCCUCAACUGGAGAUAACUUUCUAGCACCUCACCAUGGGGAAGGAUGUAUUCAUAUGCCUUCACCAGCACCUGCAUUAAACAUGCAUAGAGUUACACAAGUUCUUACCACCUUGGGGCACCAUUCAGGGUGCCUUUUCAUCUGAUUAAAUUUAUAAUGAACAGGGACAUUGCGGUUGUCCCAAGUGGAUGGUAUGAUGAUAGGAUGGUUUUCUGGCCCAGCUAUAAAAACACCGACAGAAUUGAAAGGGCAGCUUUAAAUGAGGAGCAGCAUGAGCCAAACUGGCCAAGAUUUGACGUUUCUGUUGUCCGAACUUGUGACAACUACAAAGACGCAUUAAAAAUAAUGCAACAAUAUGGAAAGGGCUGCGACACCUCAGACCUGCAAUCUGAGGCAGAGAACGAGGAGCUGCCAGAAAAAAGGAACAGGAAGCCAGUCCAUCGUCUCGGGGACUCAGAUGAUAGCGAAGAAGACCCGGGAAAUAGUGACCUCACAUCUCUGGCGUUGACAAGC